CGGUCUCCGCGUCUUGAUGGUAGUGGUCCCCUGGGCCCAGCUGCUUUCUCUUUAUCUCUUUGUCUUGUGUCUUUAUUUAUUACAAUCUCUCAUCUCCACACACAGGGAGAACACUUGCUAAGCCCCGUAGGGCUGGGCCCUACAGGCUGCAGUGCUUCCCAGCAGAUAGAUCUUCUCAGUAGGGGAAGCAUAUUAUAGAGUAGCAGCUGAAAGCAUGGUACCUGGCAUCUAUAGCCACACGACCUGAGUUUGCGACCCAGCUCCAUAGCUACAAGACCAAGAGAAGAAUCUUCAAGUGGACUUCAGGCGGAUCCUACUCCAUGUACUUUCACAAGAGAUCUAGUCCCUUCCUUGCAUUCGAGGCCUCUCCAGCAUCUGAACAAGGAAAUAACAUUGGGACUGCUAUCUGCUGAAGUCUCUGCUGCAGCAAAUGGUACUGUGGCCACCAGUGGGAGGGGCAUACUCUACAAUCUCCUCCGAAAAUGUCGUGCCUAUCCUUAAGGGGAGAGAGAUGAUACAGGGUAUCUAUAUCAAGGAGCAGGAAUCUUGGGGACCAUCUUAGAAUUCUACUGCCACAGUGAGUACAGUAUAUCUAAAAUGUACUUUGCGUUUUAUCUUGCUUAAACACUUUCUUAUAUAUUGGCCCAUGUUAGCAAGUUAAGUUAAAAAAAAAAAAAAAGUUAAGUAAAAACUAUAAAUAGCACUUAAAGGAGAAGGAAAGAGGCAGAGGUCCAGAACUCCAGUUUGCCAUUUGCUCCCUCCUCCCCAUAUCAGCCAACCUCAGUUGUUUGCAGUAGAGAAAUGCACAUGCCUGAGAUCCCGCUGACCAAAAUGUCACCCAGCACUUCUGUUUAUUAUUCAUUGGGCAUUGUUGAAUUACACUGGUCAUUUCACCCAUUAUGUGCUAAAUGAUGUGCUAAAUCUGGAGCAUGGGGAGAAAACAGGGAAACCCUGGGGGAAGAUUGCUUUGGGAUGGGCUGACCUGGCCCCCCUUGGCUGCACGUCUGGGUUCAGGCCAUCCUCCCAUCUCCCCUCCCUAACCCUGCAGAGAGUAUCUGCACUUCAGGUUAGUGCUGGCAGCUCUAGAAUUUCCUGUACAUGGGAAUAUACAGGAUUCACCCCCUCUGUGUAAGGGUUCUUCCACUGAGUGUGAAGUUGUGUGAUCCUCUCUGUUGUUGCCUGUUCUCAAGAUUCGUUCCCUUUAUUACCUGAGUAAUGUGAUUGCACCACAGUUGGUUUUCAUUGUCUCAUAGAUGGACACCUGAGAUAUUUCCAAGUUGUGCCUAUCAUGAAUAAAGCUGCUGUGAACAUUCUAGUAUAGGACAAAAGGAUGAAAAGAAGUUUGAAGUCUGUCUUCUGUCUUUUAAUCUUAUUUAUAAUUUUUAAAUAAAAGGUUUCUAAUUUCAAUGG
rnacentral:lncRNA from 10 species